GACGGAGGAUGCAAGCGUUAUCCGGAAUUAUUGGGCGUAAAGCGUCCGUAGGUGGUUUUAAAAGUCUGUUGUUAAAGCUCACAGCUCAACUGUGAAUCGGCAAUGGAAACUGUAGGACUAGAGUGUGGUAGGGGUAGAGGGAAUUCCUAGUGUAGCGGUGAAAUGCGUAGAUAUUAGGAAGAACACCAGUGGCGAAGGCGCUCUACUGGGCCAUAACUGACACUGAUGGACGAAAGCUAGGGGAGCGAAAGGG
rnacentral:rRNA from 1 species